CUACGACUGAGCGUUAGGAGGUUGAAAAGCACCUGCUUGUGUUUAGAAGAACGACAGUAACCCGGUGUUCAAUUUAUCGCGGAUGUAUUCAUGUUAUUGACCUAACUUGAAAAACGGUUCUGAGGUCAUUGGCUUGCAGGUGUGUGUAGUGUGUGAAAUCAAGUGACAGUCUCAACUUCAAUACAUAUCACAGUUUUGAAACAACAAGAUGGGUAGCUCCGGAGAAGUUGACCCAGCCUUCAAGACCAUUCCAAAAGGCCAGCCAUGCUUUUUAAUAUGGCGCAUUGAGAAAUUGAAGGUGGUGCCAGUCCCAAAAGAGUCAUAUGGAAAAUUCUACACAGGGGACUCCUACAUUAUUCUCUCUGUUUGUGAAAGAAACAGAGAGACCAAGACUCAAAGGAUUGGUUACCAGGUAGCUCUGAUCAGAUUUGUGAAAUUUAUGAUUUGUUUUGAACUAACAUGUACAUUGUAGAUAUAAUACAGGUUAUUGUCAUAAAUACUAAUUAAAUAAAUGAAUAUUCAGUUGUACCUUUUUCCAUGGCACUGUGUUUUUUGUGAACUUUUUACACAGUCUAACUGCAGUUGGUGAAUUGUAUUAGUGUCAUUUAUCAUUAUGAAAUGCAU